rnacentral:lncRNA from 1 species
GAGCGCCCGCUGGGUUCGUCCCUGCGGCGCGGGGAAAGGGCGGCGUGCAGGGGUUUUUAGCAGCGGUUCCAGGAUCCGGCCAAGGUCGUGCGUUCCAGCUGGGGUUCGAUGUGGUUUCUGCUUAGUUCGAGUUCUUCGGUUCCGCCACUAGGGACGGAGAAGACCGAAUUUUCGCGUACGUCCUGGUUUCGGUGCAGCUCAUAUUCCCGUUCCAGGAAGCAUUGGGAGAGAUAUAUACAUAUAUACUGUGUACAUUAUCUAUCGUCUUCUUUAGCCUGGACGGGAGCUACGCUAGAGAGUCCGGGGACCCCGACAGGAAGCGCGAGGCCCUGGACCUCGCGGAAUUCACGCGGAGGCAACCAUGGUGGCGUAAGCUGUUCGGGCCAGAGUCUGGGCCCUCGGCUGAGAAGUACAGCGCGGCGACGCAGCUGGCCGUCGGGGGUGUCACUGGAUGGUGCACGGGGCUCGUGUUCCGGAAGGUCGGAAAGCUGGCAGCCACGGCCCUAGGAGGAGGGUUCUUCCUCCUGCAGCUGGCAAGCCACACGGGGUACAUCAGAGUCGACUGGCAGAGACUGGAAAAAGACGUAAAGAAAGCCAAGGCGCAGCUGAAGAUCCAUAGGGGUCGGCAAAUGCCCACUGAGGUCGGGAGCAAAGCCGAGGAGGCCCUGUCGUUCGUGAAGAAGAAUGUUCCAGUAGCCGCAGGGUUUCUUGGAGGCUUCCUGCUCGGCCUGGCGUCCUGAGGGUGUCACGUGGCCCCUAUAGCGAAUCCUAUAGCAGGCCCUAUAGCAGAUCUUAAAGCAGAUGCUAUAGCAGAUCCUAUAGCAAACCUUAUAGCCAAUUUCAUAGCAAACCUUAUAGUAGAUCCUAUAGCAAAUCCUAUAGCAAACCUUAUAGUGAAUCUUACAGCGAUAUAUAUAUAUAUAUAUAAUAUUUUAUGGUAUUUUAUUAUAUACAUUAUUACACUAAGGUAUUUUAUUAUAUAUAUAUAAUAACUUAUGGUAUUUUAUUAUAUCUAUUAUACACUAAUGUAUUUUAUUAUAUAUAUAUAAUAUUUAUGGUAUUUUACUAUAUACAUUAUUGUACAUUGAGGUAUUUUAUUAUAUAUAUAUAUAUAUAUAUAUGUAUAUAUAUAUAUAUAUAUAUACCGUCCUUAUUACAGAACCAAUAACAGACCUUUAACACCGAGCACGUGCCGUGUGUUAACCCCUCCCCCUGUGUGCAUCGCAUGUUGAUUGAUAACCGCGUCCACCAUCUGCGUUGUGAUCCCCUGUGUUCUUCUCGAGGUUCAAAGGUCAUCACGAGCAGUGGUCAUCACGAGUGGUCAAGCCUCAGAUCCCGCCCUCGUCUGAAAUAAAAUCUGAGUCUGCCCUGAGGUCCGCGCAGGCCGCACUUGUGUUUGUGCAGAGGAGGCGCUGAGAGGGUGGGACAGUAAAGCACAGGCAGCUCGCCUGAAGGUCCAGAGUUCAAUUCCUGGCAGCCACGUGGUGGCUCACAACCGUGUGUCAUGGGACACAGUGUACUCAUAUAAGUAAAUCUUUAUAAAUUGUGUACGCUUUACAUGUUA